rnacentral:rRNA from 1 species
UACGUAGGGGGCAAGCGUUAUCCGGAUUUACUGGGUGUAAAGGGAGCGUAGACGGCUGUGCAAGCCAGAUGUGAAAGCCCGGGGCUCAACCCCGGGACUGCAUUUGGAACUGUGUAGCUGGAGUGUCGGAGAGGCAGGCGGAAUUCCUAGUGUAGCGGUGAAAUGCGUAGAUAUUAGGAGGAACACCAGUGGCGAAGGCGGUCUGCUGGACGAUGACUGACGUUGAGGCUCGAAAGCGUGGGGAGCAAACAGG